GAUGAACGCUGGCGGCGUGCCUAAUACAUGCAAGUCGAGCGAACGGACGAGAAGCUUGCUUCUCUGAUGUUAGCGGCGGACGGGUGAGUAACACGUGGAUAACCUACCUAUAAGACUGGGAUAACUUCGGGAAACCGGAGCUAAUACCGGAUAAUAUUUUGAACCGCAUGGUUCAAAAGUAAAAGACGGUCUUGCUGUCACUUAUAGAUGGAUCCGCGCUGCAUUAGCUAGUUGGUAAGGUAACGGCUUACCAAGGCAGCGAUGCAUAGCCGACCUGAGAGGGUGAUCGGCCACACUGGAACUGAGACACGGUCCAGACUCCUACGGGAGGCAGCAGUAGGGAAUCUUCCGCAAUGGGCGAAAGCCUGACGGAGCAACGCCGCGUGAGUGAUGAAGGUCUUCGGAUCGUAAAACUCUGUUAUUAGGGAAGAACAUAUGUGUAAGUAACUGUGCACAUCUUGACGGUACCUAAUCAGAAAGCCACGGCUAACUACGUG
rnacentral:rRNA from 1 species